CUCUGCCCUACAACCGACAGCCACACCUCCCUUGGCACCAGGAUUUGCCUCCAGUCUGACAGCCUUCCUUCCCAGCAUGCCUUGCCCUGGCCUGGGCAGUGUUGUCCACACCCACAUGAGGGUGGUGUCGGUGCUGCCCACGUCCCAGCUGUGAGGUCAGCCAGCCACAGAAGCAGCAGCUGUGGGGACAAGCUUCUGUGCGCAGCUCUGUCGUUCAGCAGCUGUGUCCUUCAGAAAGCCCUGGAGCUCUCUGGGCCUCAGGUGGCCUUUCGGAGUGUAGACAACGCCAACAGCUCUGACCACAGACAGCCAUGGCAGGCAGGUCUGUCAGUGACUAAGGAAUAUGCCCAGCAGAGACACGGCAAGACCACAAACCAUCUUGGGACCCUGAGAAAGAAGACACGGUGGGCGGAUUCAACAGUCUUAUGGGGUCACAAUGCACAGGGCUUGUUUCCUAUGAAAGAGAGAAUCCACUUAAGAAUAAACUUCAGGGCUGGGCACGGUGGCUCACACCUGUAAUCCCAGCACUUUGGGAGGCUGAGGCGUGUGGAUCACCUGAGGUCAGGAG
rnacentral:lncRNA from 1 species